rnacentral:lncRNA from 1 species
AUGCGCUGUACUGAACAAGUUUGGUCAUACAGUCUGGAAUUCUGCCCAGAAGGGAUGUAUAUAAAUAAACCACGAGCUUGCUGGCGUGCGCAGUUCUUAUCCCUCUGGGCAGAGUGUAUGUCUCUUGUGUGCAUCUCGUAUGUCUCGUAUGUUCUGUGUCAUUUCAUUCUUAGGAACCAACAUCUGGCGCCCAAUGGAUGGGGCUCAAGUGAAACCGAAAGAGAUUCUUUUGCUGUCUCUCAUCUAGUAACCACUGUACAGACUUUGCUACAUCAAUCUCGACGCAUGCUUGGUAUGGUCAUUGAUUGCUUCGAUUCUAGCAGUUGCGUCAGUAACUACAACAGCGGCGAUAGCAGGCCUCGCGUUACACCAAGGGAUUCAAACAGCUGAUUUUGUUCGGGACUGGCAUAAAGACUCUCAUUUGUUAUGGCAACAACAGCGAGAUUUGGAUGCACAA